AACCCGAAAAGGCAACCCCUGAGAAAUCAGGGUGUGUUCGCAAAACCAUGGGGCUAAAGAUAAAUCUUAUCUAGGCUAGCAGGUUACCGAU
rnacentral:ncRNA from 1 species